GAUGAAGAACGUAGCGAAAUGCGAUAAGUAAUGUGAAUUGCAGAAUUCAGUGAAUCAUCGAAUCUUUGAACGCACAUUGCGCCCUCUGGUAUUCCGGGGGGCAUGCCUGUUCGAGCGUCAUUACAACCCUCAAGCUUUGCUUGGUAUUGGAUAUUGCCAGUUUCUGGCAGGUCUUAAAAUCAGUGGCGGUGCCAUUUGGCUUCAAGCGUAGUAAUUCUUCUCGCUUUGGAGAUCCAGGUGGUUACUUGCCAAUAACCCCCAAUUUUUUCAGGUUGACCUCGGAUCAGGUAGGGAUACCCGCUGAACUUAAGCAUAUCAAUAAGCGGAGGA
rnacentral:misc_RNA from 1 species